UUGGAGGGCAAGUCUGGUGCCAGCAGCCGCGGUAAUUCCAGCUCCAAUAGCGUAUAUUAAAGUUGUUGCAGUUAAAAAGCUCGUAGUUGAAUUUCGAGAUCAGUACGCUGGUCGUGCCUUCGGUAUGCACUGGUGUCACUGGUUUCUCCCUUCUGAAGAACCGUCAUGUCAUUAAGUUGAUGUGGCGGGGAAUCAGGACUGUUACUUUGAAAAAAUUAGAGUGUUUAAAGCAGGCUCGCGAUUGAAUACAUUAGCAUGGAAUAAUGAAAUAGGACGUUUGACCCUAUUUUGUUGGUUUCUAGGAUCGACGUAAUGAUUAAUAGGGAUAGUUGGGGGCAUUAGUAUUCAAUUGUCAGAGGUGAAAUUCUUGGAUUUAUUGAAGACUAACUACUGCGAAAGCAUUUGCCAAGGAUGUUUUCAUUAAUCAAGAACGAAAGUUAGGGGAUCGAAGACGAUCAGAUACCGUCGUAGUCUUAACCAUAAACUAUGCCGACUAGGGAUCGGAUGAUGUUAAUUUUUUAAUGACUCAUUCGGCGCCUUACGGGAAAC
rnacentral:rRNA from 1 species